rnacentral:rRNA from 1 species
UGGGGAAUUUUGCACAAUGGGCGCAAGCCUGAUGCAGCCAUGCCGCGUGUAUGAAGAAGGCCUUCGGGUUGUAAAGUACUUUCAGCGGGGAGGAAGGGAGUAAAGUUAAUACCUUUACUCAUUGACGUUACCCGCAGAAGAAGCACCGGCUAACUCCGUGCCAGCAGCCGCGGUAAUACGGAGGGUGCAAGCAUUAAUCGGAAUUACUGGGCGUAAAGCGCACGCAGGCGGUUUGUUAAGUCAGAUGUGAAAUCCCCGGGCUUAACCCGGGAAUUGCAUCUGAUACUGGUCAGCUAGAGUCUUGUAGAGGGGGGUAGAAUUCCAUGUGUAGCGGUGAAAUGCGUAGAGAUGUGGAGGAAUACCGGUGGCGAAGGCGGCCCCCUGGACGAAGGCUGACGCUCAGGUGCGAAAGCGUGGGGAGCAAACAGG